ensembl:lncRNA
AAAAGUUUAUUUCAAGUUUGUGCGUGCAGCUAGAAAACCACACAUACUCACAUAUCUACAGUGGAGAAUAAAAAUUGAAGAAGAAACAUCAGAGUCCUUGCAUUCUAACCGGAUGUGCCAUAGUGAUUGCAAACCUUUACUAACCAGCCCCAAAUGAAUACUUCACAACAACUGGACUUCAAGCUACUUGGGCUACGAGCUUCUCCACCCUUCCUCCAGACUCUAGGACCUUGGUUUCCAAAUGAAAUACAAAACUUGCUCUCGUCUGAAAAGAGGACUUUGGACCACUUGGCAACAGUCCAGUUCUUCUUCUCCUUAGCCCAGGUAAGACGUCUCUGACGUUGUCUGUGGUUCAGGAGUGGCUUAACAAGAGAAAUACAACAACUGUAGCCAAAUUCCUUGACACGUCUGUGUGUGGUGGCUCUUGAUGCCUUGACCCCAGCCUCAGUCCAUUCCUUGUGAAGUUCACUCAAAUUCUUGAAUGGAUUUUGCUUGACAAUCCUCAUAAGGCUGUGGUUCUCUCGGUUGGUUGUGCAUCUUUUUCUUCCACACUUUUUCCUUCCACUCAACUUUCUGUUAACAUGCUUGGAUACAGCACUCUGUGAACAGCCAGCUUUUUUUUUGGCAAUGAAUGUUUGUGGCUUACCCUCCUUGUGAAGGGUGUCAGUGAUUGUCUUCUGGACAACUGUCAGACCAGCAGUCUUCCCCAUGAUUGUGUAGCCUAGUGAACCAAACUGAG